GAUGAACGCUGGCGGCGUGCCUAAUACAUGCAAGUCGAGCGAACGGACGAGAAGCUUGCUUCUCUGAUGUUAGCGGCGGACGGGUGAGUAACACGUGGAUAACCUACCUAUAAGACUGGGAUAACUUCGGGAAACCGUAGCUAAUACCGGAUAAUAUUUUGAACCGCAUGGUUCAAAAGUGAAAGACGGUCUUGCUGUCACUUAUAGAUGGAUCCGCGCUGCAUUAGCUAGUUGGUAAGGUAACGGCUUACCAAGGCAACGAUGCAUAGCCGACCUGAGAGGGUGAUCGGCCACACUGGAACUGAGACACGGUCCAGACUCCUACUGGAGGCAGCAGUAGGGAAUCUUCCGCAAUGGGCGAAAGCCUGACGGAGCAACGCCGCGUGAGUGAUGAAGGUCUUCGGAUCGUAAAACUCUGUUAUUAGGGAAGAACAUAUGUGUAAGUAACUGUGCACAUCUUGACGGUACCUAAUCAGAAAGCCACGGCUAACUACGUG
rnacentral:rRNA from 1 species